AAGUCGUAACAAGGUAUCCGUAGGUGAACCUGCGGAUGGAUCAUUAUUGGUCUAUUUUGAUAUUUGUGGGACACUAUUUGUUUUAAAACUACUAACGGUUUUUUCUAAAAUUAUACACUCCCACCGCUGGAUCUCUUGGCUCUC
rnacentral:misc_RNA from 1 species